rnacentral:lncRNA from 10 species
AUGAUCCAACCCCAAAUAUCCACAGUACUGAGGUUGAGAAGCCCGGAAAUUGUAUUCUCAGAACACAUCUCCCAGCUUUGGCUCAGGUGGGCACCUUGGGCCCUGUAGUUGGAGAGACCCAGGUUCAAGUCCCAGCUUUUUACCCUCUCCUGCUCCCGACACUCGCUGUGUGGCCUUAGGCAAGCCACAUGCCCUCUCUGAGCUAAUAUCCUCAUCUGGAAAAUGCUGAUUAAAACAGAUCCUCUUGCCAGGCGCAGUGGCUAAUGCCUGUAAUCCCAGCACUUUGGGAGGCUGAGGUGGGUGGAUCACUUGAGGUCAGGAGUUGGAGACCAGCCUGGUGAAACCAACAUGGUGAAACCCCGUAUCUACUAAAAAUACAAAAAUUAGCUGGGCAUGGCGGUG